UGGUAAAAAAUCUGACCUGCUCUAUGUAAAUGGCCGCGGUAUUUUGACCGUGCUAAGGUAGCAUAAUCAUUAGUUUUUUGAUUGGGGACUUGUAUGAAUGGUUGGACAAAGAAGAGACUGUCUUAUGGGGUUGAAUUUUUUGUUUGGUGUGAAAAAACAUGAGGGAAGAAAAGACCCUAUUAAGUUUUAUUAUUUUACUGGGGCGGUAAUGAUGGUAGAAAGAUUAAAUUACUAUAGGGAUAACAGCGUGAAAUAUUUGGAGAGUUCUUAUUGAUAAAUAGUUUUGCGACCUCGAUGUUGAAUUAAGUUUGUUUGGUGUAGGACUUUUAAAAACUUACA
rnacentral:rRNA from 1 species